GGGGAAUAUUGCACAAUGGGCGCAAGCCUGAUGCAGCCAUGCCGCGUGUAUGAAGAAGGCCUUCGGGUUGUAAAGUACUUUCAGCGGGGAGGAAGGUGUUGUGGUUAAUAACCACAGCAAUUGACGUUACCCGCAGAAGAAGCACCGGCUAACUCCGUGCCAGCAGCCGCGGUAAUACGGAGGGUGCAAGCGUUAAUCGGAAUUACUGGGCGUAAAGCGCACGCAGGCGGUCUGUCAAGUCGGAUGUGAAAUCCCCGGGCUCAACCUGGGAACUGCAUUCGAAACUGGCAGGCUAGAGUCUUGUAGAGGGGGGUAGAAUUCCAGGUGUAGCGGUGAAAUGCGUAGAGAUCUGGAGGAAUACCGGUGGCGAAGGCGGCCCCCUGGAC
rnacentral:rRNA from 1 species